ACAUGCUUACAACAUAGCGUUAAUUAACCAAAUGCCAUUAUAACUCCACAGUUAAGUGCACUCAGGCUAGAUUAGCACUAGGAUGGGUGACCGAUCGGGAAGUCCCAAUGUUUUACAUACC
rnacentral:rRNA from 1 species